rnacentral:ncRNA from 1 species
ACAAGCGCCAGUGCCUGCUCCGGCAGGACGACGAGGCGGAGCGUGAUCGAACAUUCGGCGGAUGCGCUCCCGCUGCCCCCGGCAGUGUGACACAGUCAGAAAUAUGCGGGCGACCGCAAAACAGAGGGGCUG